GAUGAACGCUGGCGGCGUGCCUAAUACAUGCAAGUCGAGCGAACGGACGAGAAGCUUGCUUUUCUGAUGUUAGCGGCGGACGGGUGAGUAACACGUGGAUAACCUACCUAUAAGACUGGGAUAACUUCGGGAAACCGGAGCUAAUACCGGAUAAUAUUUUGAACCGCAUGGUUCAAAAGUGAAAGACGGUCUUGCUGUCACUUAUAGAUGGAUCCGCGCUGCAUUAGCUAGUUGGUAAGGUAACGGCUUACCAAGGCAACGAUGCAUAGCCGACCUGAGAGGGGGAUCGACCAAACGGGAACUGAAACAGGGCCAAGACUCCAAGGGGGGGCAGAGUGGGGAAUUCUCCAAAAAGGGGAAAAACCCUGACGAGAAACCGCCGGGUGAGGAUGAAAGGUUUUGGGAUCGAAAACCUUUUUUAUAGGGAAAAAAAAUAGGUGAAAAAAAUUGGAAAAAUUUUGCCGUUACCAAAUAAAAAACCCACGACAAACUCCGUC
rnacentral:rRNA from 1 species